GCUUACGCCAAACCGCCUGGUUCACGCCCGAUCUCGUUUGAUCUCGGAAGCUAAGAUAGGUUGGGCCUGGUUAGUACUUGGAUGGGAGACCGCCUAGGAAUACCAGGUGCUGUAAGCU
rnacentral:rRNA from 1 species